GACGAACGCUGGCGGCGUGCCUAACACAUGCAAGUCGAACGGAGAUACAUUAGUAGCAAUAUUGAUGUAUUUUAGUGGCGGACGGGUGAGUAACGCGUGAGCAAUCUGCCCUCGGGUGGGGGAUAACAGCGGGAAACUGCUGCUAAUACCGCAUAACGUAUAUUUGUGGCAUCGCAGAUAUACCAAAGAUUUAUUGCCUGAGGAUGAGCUCGCGUCUGAUUAGCUAGUUGGUGAGGUAACGGCCCACCAAGGCUUCGAUCAGUAGCCGGACUGAGAGGUUGAACGGCCACAUUGGGACUGAGAUACGGCCCAGACUCCUACGGGAGGCAGCAGUGGGGAAUAUUGCGCAAUGGGGGAAACCCUGACGCAGCAACGCCGCGUGAAGGAAGAAGGUUCUCGGAUUGUAAACUUCUUUUACUCGGGACGAAAAAAAUGACGGUACCGGGUGAAUAAGCCACGGCUAACUACGUG
rnacentral:rRNA from 1 species